GUGAAUCAUCGAAUUUUUGAACGCAAAUUGCACUCUCUUCGGAGAGUAUGCCUGUUUGAGGGUCAGCCUAUAAAAAAUCGACAUAGUCGCUGUUUCGCGGUGGCGUUCGUCGGAAAUUGGGUCAUCUUAAACCUUUGGGUUUUAAGCGGCUUAAAAUUUUCUUUUUGGUUCUAUGAACGUUUCUAAGAUUUAUUUCUUUAUUUAUGUCAUGUAUCUUUUUUUGUUAUGCCCG
rnacentral:misc_RNA from 1 species